UGCUGAGCAAGAAGUUCCCAGGUAUGAAGUUCACUAAGGGUGCUGGAAAGUUCUGAGUGGUCUCGGGCAUUUUCACACUCCCUGUGCAAAGGGACUGAUCCAGUUUUCUGAAUGAUCGGAUCACAUACCCAGGGCAGUAGCUUUUCUCGUUAUUGAUUACCCACAGCAAGAGAAGACAUUUGUUUGGAAGGGAUACGCCCUGACACCCCGAGUCUCAGAGACCUGCCCUGCUAUGCAGGAGAUGGUCUUGCACUGACAUCUCUGUUGCCUCCCCUAAGACAAUCACCACGACAACGUAGCUUGGGUUUUGUCUCUUAGCUUCUAUGCUUUUUCUUUAAGUUAAUAUAAACAUGAAGGGGGUGGGGAGAAGGGAAAGAAGGGGAGGAAAGAAAGUCUUAGAACCCCCAGCCAAAAAAGAAGUCACCUGUAGUUCUGCAGGUUUGGACCAGUGUUUGAGGAGACGGACUAGAUAAAGCACUAGAGUGCACUGAGGUUUGGCACCUCACCAUGGAAAGAUUUGCAUAUUCACAUCUGCGUGUCAAUUUCCCACUGCAGCACAAAGAAACUGUCAAUCAACUUGAGCCCAAACAAGAACUAAAUAGGGCUCAAACCAGGCCUCUGAAACAGGAAGCAGGGCCUAGUCCCUGUGGCUACCACAGAGGAACCGACCUGUGCUGGUAAACUCCCAGGAAACUCACCAGCCAAGACCUCUGGUGAGAAAAGACAGGCAAUGCUUCGCGCUCCAGCCUCACCUAGAGAGGGAACCAACCCUGGCGAUCCGAUGCCAAUGUUUCAAACAGGCCAAGCCGGCCUCAUAGGAAAGAAUCCACAAUCAUAGGAACAGGAAGCCAGGCCAGUCGUGACUAUCUGUGCUUGGCUAUUUUGGGGUUUCUAUUGCAUUUUGUUUAGGAAAAUCAGACUUUGUUUCGGCCUAGCCAGUUAGCCAAGAAAGCAGGAGGGAGCACUGUGCUCUGUGCUUAGAUGGAGCAGCAGCAGCUGACCCAAGAUGCGGUCAUCCUGGCUGUGGGCUCCGCUCAGUGGCAGAGCUCCUGUCUGGCAUGCACGAGGCCCCCAGGUGGGAUUCCUAGCACUGGAGAAGAAAUAACAACUAAGCGAGAUCCAGGUUGGGCUGUUCUUGCGUAUUCUCCCACCUCACUUCUCCUAUCGCCUUGGAAAAGCUACCCUAGAAAGCUCUGGUUUCUUCUGGGUGACCCUCACAGGCUCUGUCAAAGGUCCCCGCCCCUCCUCCCAACUCUGAUCUCCUCAGGACCAAGGACAGGCCAUAAAGGAGCAGUUACGAAUCUCUAUGAAGUACAACGAGUCACUCCCGGUGAUGGUAAUAAUACUGAGAUUUUAAAGAACAGAUCACUCCAACCAUCUACUCCUCUAAAAGUUCGAACUGACUCACUCAGUAUUACAGAAGAGACUGGACCGGAAUCCUGACCCCCAAAGCCCUUGUUACCAUAUUUAUGCUUUCUUGAUUUCACAAAUACAUACAGGAUUCAGGGGACUCUCCAACACACGAUUCAGUUCUCCCUCCACUUCUACCCUGGAGAACUUUUCAGAGAAAGAAACUCUCCUGCAAGGCACAAAAAGCCUUUCUCACCAGUAUUAUGACCCAGAGCAGAAGUGGACAAACACUCAGCUCUACCAGGAGGGGCCGCGCCCUUCCAACUGUAUCUCCAGAUGAGGUAGGGAAGAAGAGAGAGGCCCAGCAUGAGCCAGGACCUGCAGUGCAUAUGCUUAGCAGACUGCAAGCCAGUCAACACCGGCUACUAGUACGGUUUUAGCAUCCACAGUCACGUUCUCUUGCUUGCCCGAUUUGCUUUUUGUUUCUGAAAAAGAGUCUCAUUGUGUGGCUCGGUGUAGCCUUUGACUCGGCCACUAGCUCAAGCUGACCUCAAACUAUCCGCGGUACAAUCAUCUCUUUAGGGACUGUUUACAGCCGAGUUGAAAACCUGUGACAGAAACCUGAAAAAGUCACGAGUCUAAAAUACUUAACUAUCUGGCUUCUGACAGAAAACAAAACACUUGACCAGCUUUUGAGCAACAGUUGACCGGCCGUUGGCAGAAGGAGAACAAUUAGUCUCUUAGAAAUCGGGGGUAGAGGGGGGGGACCCCAAACUGGCCUACUACCAAAGCCCAAUGCCUUCAGUGUAGAAAGACCAAGGGUUAGGGUGAACUGGUAACAUCUUCAUUCUAUCACAGCACCACGCUGGGCAGCGAGCGAUUAGACUCAGGCCUUACUACGUGGAAAGAACCAAUGGGUUGGGAAGGUGGCCACCAACGGAGGAGUCCCCAGAGCUCAUCCUCACCACUGUUUCCUUGAUUCUAAUAGCAAGUGCGCUCUGCACAAAGGCAGCCAGAGCCCUCUGUGAGCUUUUAAUGUCAGCACCGUGCACUGGCCAGCCACUGCCUGGGAAUCCCAGGGUCGGCUCUUCUAGUAAGCAAAUAAUCCUUUCCUCCCAGGCCUGGUCACAGGACUGAGUGAGACAGAGCUCAAUGCCUGCUGUCCUCUAACCUUUCUCCUUUUGCAGCGAUGGUAUUUGGAGAGUAACAGAGGACAGCCUUGUUAGGAAACUUUCCUUCCUAUGAGCUGAGGGUUUAAGAAAUUUUUUUCUGGACUCCUAGGAAAAAUAAGCCUACUCUAUCAUCGCAAUGAAAAUAAGCUCAAGUUUUUAUUUGGUUUUUUUCCCCCCUCUCAUAUCAUUUGGUUCUUUGAAGCGUCUUCCAAAUCAUAAUCCAAAAAUAAGAGUGCUAUAAUUUUUAGAAAAGUUAUGUUUAUGUAAUUUUUAUAGCUAGCCACCCCAAGAACCAAGCUAUAAUAUAUUAUAUUCAUGUUCAGUUAUGAAGACACAGACUGUUUAAAAAAAAAAACCCAAACCAGAAAGUCUCAGUUUAUUUAGUCUGGCUUCCUUAACAUGAAGUUCUUCUUGUUCUUAAAAUAUUCAGCUUUGGCUGAAUCCCAGAGCAGACAUAAGCCUACUCCAGGUGUUUUGAAGAGGCUGUAAGAGAAUUAGAUUGAAAUAUAGAAC